AUUUUAUGCAUAUAAAUAUACCUACAAGACGGCAUUUACCCUCAGAAAGCACUCUGAGAAAAAAAUAUUUACCGAAAGAUUACGAUAUGGUAAUUAAGGAAAUUAGAAAUUCGAUUGGCAAUAAUAAUAUAUGGGCUAGCGUCGAUGAGACGACGGACAGAUUAGGGAGAUACAUAGCCCAUUUAGUAAUUGGAAAGUUAUCUUCUGAAGAAGCUGGCCGUCCAUUUCUACUAGCUUUGAAGCAGCUUGAUAAAACUAAUAGCAACACAAUCUCGAGAUUUAUAAACGAAUCAUUGGCUUUAUUGUGGCCAAAAGGAAC